CGCGUGAUUUAAACUUCCAAACUUCUGCGCUGUUCUACGUGAUAUUGUGAAAUCUAUAUGGAUUUAUACGUGGUGAUCAUACCUAGCACCAUCCGGAUCAUCAAGCAUCAAUAUUUGAUACGCGACACUUUGCCUACUGAUCGUCAGAAGCUCCCAUAAACGUGACUCGCACAGAUCAUGCCUUGAAGCCGUCUCCUGCUUCAGUUUCUUACGCUUGGAUCUUCAGCAAAGCUCGCAGAUGAUGGUGCAAGGAGAAUGCC
rnacentral:lncRNA from 1 species